GCCAGUGUGGUUUAGUGGUCUGAGCGUUGGACUAUGGCUCUAAAGACCAGGGUUUGAAAUCCAGCUCAGCCA